rnacentral:lncRNA from 9 species
GCAGGCUUGGGAAAUGAAUAAUCACUGUUGAGAUACAAGCCCUUUUCCCUCAGCAAGACACCCUGAUCACCUAGUGGUUAACAAAUGAUAAGCUUCACCUUCUGUUUCUCUUUUCUUCUUAAUAAGGUGGAGAGGAAAGUGAGCACUGACCUGAAUCCAAAUCCUUUGCUGUCCUGUCGUUGCAAGCAUGUGCCUUGUUUUGAAAGCUCUGUGCAGUGAGAUGAGGUUUCUUUAUUUAAGGAGGGAACAAGAAUUCCACAGUUUGGAGAUGUUCAACAAGAUUCAGCCAAGACCCUCUCACCUUGGUCUGCUUAAGAACUUAUCUUACAAGUUCAUUUGCACCUGUUUAGCUCAAGGCUUCCAGUAGUCAAUGGUCCCAGACUGGAGAAGAAGUGCUGAAGGUUUUCAUCAGGCAAUAACAUGGCACAUGAGCCCACCCCAAACUUUCCUAGAGCCCACAAAGGAGUACCAACAGAGGUCAGCAAACGUAAGUCCGAAUAUUAUAAAGCAAUCUUUUAAAUAAGACAGGUCUUAUACUACUACUGUAACAAUGAAAACAGCUUCCAAAUGACAAGAUUUUUUUUAAAGGAGUAAAGUUAUGCUUAUUUGAAUGCCUAUAAUUUGUCAUUAAAGUAGUCAAAGUGAUGAACUUUAUUACCACUGGGGUACAUCUGGGUGUUUUUGGAUGGCAGUGUUUAGGUAAGUAAAAAAAGUUAAUAAAUUAGUACUUCUUUACUUUAGUAUAUUUACUUAUUUUGCCUUCAGCAGAGUGAUCUUGUUGUUGGUUGAAAUCAGGAUUUUCAUAUAAUUUGUAUCCUAAU